rnacentral:rRNA from 1 species
UACGGAGGGGGCUAGCGUUGUUCGGAAUUACUGGGCGUAAAGCGCGCGUAGGCGGCUUUGUAAGUCAGAGGUGAAAGCCUGGAGCUCAACUCCAGAACUGCCUUUGAAACUACAUCGCUAGAAUCAUGGAGAGGUUAGUGGAAUUCCGGGUGUAGCGGUGGAAUGCGUAGAGAUCCGGAAGAACACUGGAGGCGAAGGCGGCUUGCUGGACCUGGUCUGACGCUGAGGCGGCGAAAAGCGUGGGGAGCGAACAGG